UACGGAGGGUGCAAGCGUUGUUCGGAAUUAUUGGGCGUAAAGGGCAGGUAGGUGGUCUUGAAAGUCUGCUGUGAAAUCCCCGAGCUUAACUUGGGAAGUGCGGCAGAUACUCCAAGACUAGAGUACUGGAGGGGUUCGUGGAAUUCCCGGUGUAGCGGUGAAAUGCGUAGAUAUCGAGAGGAACACCUGCGGCGAAGGCGGGUUGCUGGGCUGAUAUUGACGCUGAUGCGCGAAAGCCAGGGGAGCGAACGGG
rnacentral:rRNA from 1 species